rnacentral:rRNA from 1 species
GAGUUUGAUCAUGGCUCAGGACGAACGCUGGCGGCACGCCUAACACAUGCAAGUCGAACGGAGAUAUUUUGGUUUACUGAGAUAUCUUAGUGGCGGACGGGUGAGUAACACGUGAGCAACCUGCCUYUGAGAGGGGGAUAGCUUCUGGAAACGGAUGGUAAUACCUCAUAACAUAACGAAGCCGCAUGACUUUGUUAUCAAAGAUUUAUCACUCAGAGAUGGGCUCGCGUCUGAUUAGAUAGUUGGUGAGGUAACGGCUCACCAAGUCGACGAUCAGUAGCCGGACUGAGAGGUUGAACGGCCACAUUGGGACUGAGACACGGCCCAGACUCCUACGGGAGGCAGCAGUGGGGAAUAUUGCACAAUGGGGGAAACCCUGAUGCAGCGAUGCCGCGUGGAGGAAGAAGGUUUUCGGAUUGUAAACUCCUGUCUAAAGGACGAUAAUGACGGUACUAGAGAKUCGCC